AUUUGUUGAUUAUGUGUGCUUUAAAGUAGAGAGUGAGGAAAUGAAAGGGUAAAAUUUGAAAACUGCCAAGAGAGAGGGAGAGACAACCAAUUAGGGUUUAUGUAAUGGAUGGUUACUUGUGGUAGUGGUCAUAAUCAUGAGGAGUGGAAGAUAAGCCAUUAAUUGACAUGUCCAUAUGCUGACGUCAUGCACAAGGCUUGAAACAGUGUAUGCAUGCAUGUUAGUUUCUCUCUCCUAUUUUCCCUUUUUCUCUUUAUUUGAAAAUUUUCCCUUUUCA
rnacentral:lncRNA from 1 species